rnacentral:misc_RNA from 1 species
UGACAUCUCGAAGACGCUGUUGCUCGUAGUAUAGCACCUGAACCACAGUCUGAACAGGAAGCCGGUCAUUUUGGGCAGCAUGAGCACAAGCCUCCCUCGACAGCUUCUGACAAUCCAUCAAACUGCAGACUUUCUUCCUUUCCAUGUCACUUAANNCCUUGAGGAAGAUGUCUAUGGCUCUAUACAUCCCAUCUUCUGUUAUCCUUGAUUGUUCAGGAAUAAGUUCAGCAAGACCAAUGAAUCUUGAAACAGUUAAAUUCCUGUCAGAGGCUAUUUCGGCUAGGUAGUUCUCCAUCAGCUUCCCAACUCGUUCCGUGUCACUUGGUGGGGGAGAAACAUACUCACCAUCUGCUUG